rnacentral:lncRNA from 1 species
AAUGGUGCGAUCUUGGCUCACUGCAACCUCCGCCUCCUGGGUUCAAGCGAUUCUCCUGCCUCAGCCUCCCAAGUAGCUGGGACUACAGGCACGCGCCACCACUCCUGGCUAAUUUUUGUAUUUUUAGUAGAGAUGGGGUUUCACCACAUUGGUCAAACUGGUCUUGAACUCCUGAUCUCGUGAUCCGCCCACCUCAGCCUUCCAAAGUGUUGGGAUUACAGGCAUGAGCCACUGUGCCUGGCUUUUUUUUUUUUGAGACGAAGUCUCACUCUGUCACCCAGCCUGGA